rnacentral:tRNA from 1 species
GGGGCUGUAGCUCAGUUGGGAGAGCACCUCCCUUGCACGGAGGGGGUCAGGGGUUCGAGUCCCCUCAGCUCCA